rnacentral:lncRNA from 1 species
AGAGCUGGCAAAACGGGUCAUCGGGUCGUGUUCGUGUCGUGUCAGUUUCGUGUCGUGUCAAAUUUAAGUCGACCCAAACCCGACCUAUUUAAUAAUCGUGUCAAAAUAUUGAGACCCAAACCCGACACGGAAAAAUAAUCGGGUUACCCAAUAACCCGUUUAAUAUCUAUAUAUUGAACAAAAGUUACAUAAAAUAUUUACACACUAUCAUACAUACGUAUGUACAUAAAUACAUACAUACAUAAUUU